rnacentral:rRNA from 1 species
UUCUAGGACUAUAACACCCUGAAUGUGCAUGAUCCCAUCUGAUCUCGGAAGCUAAGCAGGGUUGAUCCUGGGUAGUCUUUGGAUGGGAGACCACUUUGCAAUACUGACUGCUUUAGGCU